rnacentral:tRNA from 1 species
AGCAGCAUGGCUCAGGGGAAAGAGCCUGGGCUUGGGAGCCAGAGGUCAUGGGUUCAAAUCCCAGCUCUGCUG